rnacentral:miRNA from 1 species
CAGGAUGGCCAGUUAAAUUUAAAUUUCAGACAAACAAUGAAUACUUUUUGUAGUAUAAAUGUUCCAUGCAAUAUUUGGGACAUACGUAUACUAAAAAUUUUUUCUUUGUUUAUCUGAGUUCAAAUUUAACUGGGCAUCCUGUA